UACGGAGACUGCAAGCGUUACUCGGAUUCACUGGGCGUAAAGCGUUUGUAGGUGGCUAAAUAAGUCUGCUGUUAAAUAUUAGGGCUCAACCCUAACCAAGCAGUGGAAACUAUUAAGCUAGAGUAUGGUAUGGGCAAAGGGAAUUCCCAGUGUAGCGGUGAAAUGCGUAGAUAUUGGGAAGAACACCAGAAGCGAAGGCGCUUUGCUGGGCCAUUACUGACACUCAGAAACGAAAGCUAGGGUAGCGAAUGGG
rnacentral:rRNA from 1 species